UACGGGGGGGGCAAGCGUUGUUCGGAAUUACUGGGCGUAAAGGGCUCGUAGGUGGCCAACUAAGUCAUACGUGAAAUCCCUCGGCUUAACCGGGGAACUGCGUCUGAUACUGGAUGGCUUGAGGUUGGGAGAGGGAUGCGGAAUUCCAGGUGGAGCGGUGAAAUGCGUAGAUAUCUGGAGGAACACCGGUGGCGAAGGCGGCAUCCUGGACCAAUUCUGACACUGAGGAGCGAAAGCCAGGGGAGCAAACGGG
rnacentral:rRNA from 1 species